GCAGGGACAGAGGGGCCACCUGAGGGCAGUCCAUACUUCGACAUGGGGACCAGAGGAAGGUCCCAAACUUAUGACAGUGCUGAGGAAAGACUGAUUCAUAAAGUGAACAAAGUAUGCUGCUGAGCAGAGGCAUUAUCUACUGCCUCAAGAAAGAAUCCCUGAAUUAUCUUCUCAGAAGGAUUCUGAUCUUGGGUACAUACCAAGACUAUUGAGCCUCGAUUUUCUCAUCUGUAAAACAGGCACAAUGACAGGAUCUACCAUAUGUUUCAUGAAGAUUGAACAAGCUCUGUUAAUCACUGCUUAAUAAACAUAAUCAUUAUCUUUAAUUUUUAUGUACACAUGGAAUACCAUUGCCACACUAAUAUAGUUUAUUGUCCUUGACCACAUGCAGGAUAUAUUACAAUCCUUUUGUUUCAUAUGUAUAAGCUAGAAAGAGGUAUAAUUUAAUAUACUCCAGAUUCAAUAUUAAAUAUGUACUA